rnacentral:misc_RNA from 1 species
AACGCACAUUGCGCCCUGUGGUAUUCCGCAGGGCAUGCCUGUUCGAGCGUCAUUUCAACCCUCAAGCCCUGCUUGGUGUUGGGCCCUGCCCGCUGCGGCCGGCCCUAAAGUCAGUGGCGGCGCCGUCCGGCUCUAAGCGUAGUACAUCUCUCGCUCUAGGGCCCCGCGGUGGCUUGCCAGCAACCCCAACUCCUAUGGUUGACCUCGGAUCAGGUAGGGAUACCCGCUGAACUUAA